rnacentral:tmRNA from 1 species
UGCUACUAUGGACCCGUGGGUGGAACACGGCAUCUCCACCA